rnacentral:rRNA from 1 species
GAUGAACGCUGGCGGCGUGCCUAAUACAUGCAAGUCGAGCGAACGGACGAGAAGCUUGCUUCUCUGAUGUUAGCGGCGGACGGGUGAGUAACACGUGGAUAACCUACCUAUAAGACUGGGAUAACUUCGGGAAACCGUAGCUAAUACCGGAUAAUAUUUUGAACCGCAUGGUUCAAAAGUGAAAGACGGUCUUGCUGUCACUUAUAGAUGGUUCCGCGCUGCAUUAGCUAGUUGGUAAGGUAACGGCUUACCAAGGCAACGAUGCAUAGCCGACCUGAGGGGGUGAUCGGCCACACUGGAACUGAGACACGGUCCAGACUCCUACGGGAGGCAGCAGUAGGGAAUCUUCCGCAAUGGGCGAAAGCCUGACGGAGCAACGCCGCGUGAGUGAUGAAGGUCUUCGGAUCGUAAAACUCUGUUAUUAGGGAAGAACAUAUGUGUAAGUAACUGUGCACAUCUUGACGGUACCUAAUCAGAAAGCCACGGCUAACUACGUG